AUUGUCAUAAAAUAAAAUAUGAGAAUUUGAUAAGAAUUGGUGAACAUGAAUUUUACAGCUAGUGCCCCUUUAAAUGUUCCAACAGUGGGAGUUAACAUCAUUUUAGUUUUAAAACAAAUUUACAAUUGCGAGCAACUAUCAACAUGAUCAAGGAGAUAUUUCAUCCAUAAGUACUUGUGGACAGAACAAUUUUGAGGCCCCUCAUGGGGGGGUCCUAGUAAUCACAUAAUCACCAUUUUUUUGCCAAUAUAAUCACAUAAUCAUUAAAUAUUUGCUUAUCUUUAGUAAUCAAAUAAUCAUAAACUAAAAAUACAGUCCUAGGUAAUCAAAUAAUCAUGAAAUAUUUGGCUUAAUAAUCAAAUAAUCAUUAAAAAUACGGCCAAGUAAUCACAUAAUCAAAAACCCCAUGAGGGCCCUCAAUUUUGUUUAGCCCUCCCCUUUUAUUCCAAAAUCUGUUAUUUGUAUUCUUUUAAUUUCAAUUAUUUUCGCGUUUAUUUGUAUUAUAUGAACAUACAUAUUAUUACUAGUAUACACGGCCAUAAGUUUCCGUCAAAUGAAUAUGAUAGGACCAUACAAGCGAAAUUUUGCGAAAUAAUAAGACAUAUACAUACCCCAACUUGACCCCUGCGUCAAGCAUAUUUCUCCGCACCA
rnacentral:lncRNA from 1 species